GGCAGUGGGGUGUAGUGGUUAGAGUGUCGGGCUGAGACCUGGGAGAUCUGGGUUCGAAUCCCCGCUCCGUCG